rnacentral:tRNA from 1 species
GCGGGCUUCGUAUAAUGGUAUUAUGUCAGCUUUCCAAGCUGAAGAAGCAAGGUUCGAUUCCGGGCAGCCUGCUCCA